rnacentral:snRNA from 1 species
UUUUGGUAGCACAUAUAUUAAAAAACUGGAAUAAUACUGAGAAGAUUAGCAUGGCCCCUGCCCAAGGAUGACACACAAUUUUGUGAACCUUCCAUAUUUCU